rnacentral:misc_RNA from 1 species
CAUAUCUCAAUUAUUGGGUAUGCAGGAAAGUAUACACAUGUAGUUUGUUGCUUAGUCCAGAGAAUAAUGAAUAAAUGUUCUAUGGCAAAAGUAAAUCUAUAAAUCAAAAGCAUACAACAAGCCAAGCCCUGAAGCUAUAUAUAUAUUUAUUUUAACUUCUGUGUACCUUAUCCCUUUGCAGCAGAACUGCACAGAUACCAUGGUUCUGACAAAGUGUUCCCUUGUAGCCUCCUAGAUGUAGCAUAAACUAGAAACCAGCCCAUCCAGCAGGUUGAGUAGCUGGCUGACUCUCCAAGAUCUUUUUCCCACCAUAGUUCAGAGAACUAUUUCCUUCUUUAGUGCGUCUUGAAAUCUGAGUGCUGGCAGCAGGAACAGCUGUAAAACUAUCAGCUCCAAAACCCCACGACUCAAAUUCAGAAGAUGCCUGAGCAGCCUGCAUUUUCUGGUUUGUCCUAACAGAUUGAGGACUGUUGCCCUUUGAAGGAGGCUGCUGAUGUGACUUGGGAUCCUCCGCAAAAGCUUGCCAUGGCUUGGUCUCUGGACAUAGGGUUCUCCAGUCAGAUUCCCCUUGCUUAGGAGUUGUUGAUGAUUGAACUUUGGGGGAAGCAUGAUACUUAUUUGGUGAUGGGGUUCUAGCAGCCAUUGCUUGCUUGAGCUCUUGUAUCUCUUGCCUCUGAGAUCGGCAAAUGGCAGAUAGCUUUUCAUAUUUUGAAGUCAUUUCCACCUUCUCCAAGUUUGAUUGCUUCAGUUGCUCUCUAAGCCUCACUAUUUCAGCCUCUAAUUCUUCUUCUUUUACUGAUUUGUUAUUAGCAACUCUGGAGUUCAGCUUAUUGCUAUCAAAUUCAGCAACAAAAUUAUUAAAAGCCUCAUCUUGAAAUAAAGACGUGCUAUCAUUCUUUGAUGCUUUCAGCCUCUCCAUGCCAUGGUCUAAUUCUUUCUGGAAGAAUUUUAUUUCAAAGUCCUUGGAAGUGCCAUCCUCGGAAAUCUGCGACUUACCAUGCACACUCCUCCGAGUGGCAUAAGUUUGUGCAUUUUCAUCUUUUGCAGGGCUGGAAUUUUUGGAUAAGGUAUGAUUCUCCAUUCCACACGUAUCCUGUCUAGAUGUGUUAUGGCUAGGUUCUUCAUCAAAUUUAGGUCUGCUAUUGUCUUCAACAGAGAAUGAGUCCUUUGCAUGUUGAGAGGACCAGAAGGCACCAAGUUGUCCCCCACCUCCCCCUCCCCCAGAUGAAGGUGGAGGUGGUGGACUUCUACGAGGCAUUGGAUGUGACCUAUUUGCAAGUUUUGAACCUUCAUGUACACCAGUAGGCUGCAUUUCAGGUGGUCCAUCAGGCAAUGCCUUCGGAUGACUUCUGCAGAUUAACUGGUAACUGCUCAUUAACACGAAACCAUACCUGCGUGAUGUCUGGUCUGUCAUCUGGUGAAGCUUGAAGCAUGUCCCUGAUUAAGUCUAUUACUGAAGUGCUGUACUUGGGUAAGUCAUUUCCAUUCAAUAUUUGUAACUUUGACUCCCCAUCAAAUGCAUUUUUGAAGUAGCAUAUACGAAAGAGCAAACAGCCAAGGGCCCAUAUGUCUACCUUCUCGCUUAUAAGAUCUCUUCGCAACAGAUCCCA